rnacentral:rRNA from 1 species
AACGAACGCUGGCGGCAUGCCUAACACAUGCAAGUCGAACGAGACCUUCGGGUCUAGUGGCGCACGGGUGCGUAACGCGUGGGAACCUGCACUUAGGUUCGGAAUAACUCCCCGAAAGGGGUGCUAAUACCGGUUAAUGUCUUCGGACCAAAGAUUUAUCGCCUUUGGAUGGGCCCGCGUUGGAUUAGCUAGUUGGUAGGGUAAAAGCCUACCAAGGCGACGAUCCAUAGCUGGUCUGAGAGGAGGAUCAGCCACACUGGGACUGAGACACGGCCCAGACUCCUACGGGAGGCAGCAGUGGGGAAUAUUGGACGAUGGGCGAAAGCCUGAUCCAGCAGUGCCGCGUGAGUGAUGAAGGCCUUAGGGUUGUAAAGCUCUUUUACCCGGGAUGAUAAUGACAGUACCGGGAGAAUAAGCUCCGGCUAACUCCGUG